CUAGAUCUAGAGAAGCGGAGGUAAGAAGGUUAAAUUAGUAAUUUACAUGAUUUUUAUUGUAGUUUCACUGUUUGUUAGGCCCAAUUAUUAAAUCUUUAGAUCAGAGGUCCAGCUUGAUCAUGUGUGGUAUCUAUUGUGGUGCAUUGGAAUGAAAAGCCCACAUACUUAAAUAUAGAAUCUAGUAGGCCUAUACUAUAACUGUACUGCCCUAUACUUUAAAUUUGUUACCACAAGAAAAAAGCCUAUUUACUAUUAUUAGUUAUAAUUAAAUUAAAUUGAAAUAUUUGUUUAUCUUUAUAGUUUAUAGUGAAUGCAUGCUAAUGAGCAUUAUUGAAGCUGCUGUUAUAUUUAGGCUUAUAGGCCUAUAUACUCUAUAGCUUAGGCUAUAUACUAUAGACUAUAUAUUAUAUACCAAUAUUGUGCAUAAAACUUAAAGCAUGUAAGCAUACACAAUAAUAAUUAUCAUUAGACCUAUAGUAACUAAGACUCAUACUAUUUAGUACUACUUUAAUACUACCUUUAAACUAUUAGGCAUAAUGAAAUAAUGAUUAAUAAUUUCAGUGUUUUCCGCACUCAAGAGGAAGGAGGUUGCAGGGAACUUAGAGACUAAUCUUUGCCAACAUACUGGAUUUCUGGUGAUGACAAUAGGAGCAAAUAGUAUGCGGCUCAGUUAAUACUAAAAACAAUUGAUUUUAGUAAUUAGUGGACUAUGAGUGUGUGUUUGGUCAUCCAGAUUUCAUAACUACAACUGAUGUUCAAUUACAAGGGAUAUUAAUCAGUCUCCGUGGACUAUACACUGUGCCUAGUUUCAUCCUCAGAGACUGAUGUGUAAGCUUAAAGUAAAGACAUCAAAUCAAAGUAUCAGCUAUCAAGAGGAAGAACAUUCAAAAUCAUAUUGUGAUACACAAAUCAAGCAAGUCUAUAACCAGCAAUAUGAUACAGGCCAAGAAAAAGCUGGAUAUUUGAUUGGAAGGGUGGCACAAAAAAGAUGGGUUAUCACUAGGGAAACAAGCUCGGAAUACAGUUCACUGUUGGGACAUCAAGCCAAAUACUUCUAAACUUAUUUGAAUCAUUUUUGCUGUUUAUUAUAAU